GAAUGAACAGCUUCUGAAGACUCAUCUUCCUGCCUGCCCUGUACCCAAGCAAAGCUCAGUCACUAAUACUCAGUGCUGGAACGCAGUUCUUUUUUCUCAUCUGUCAGUUGAUGCGCCGUUUCAUCUACGAAGACCUGCCCUGUGAUGACUGACCAGAUCAUUUUAUCUGCUGGGUGAAAUGAAGCUGCUCACAGAUGCACCAUAGACUCCAUAGUUCAAGCAGGAGCAUUCCUUAAAGACCAGAUGUUUGCUGUUUGAAGGAGUGUCGUCAUCUGACGUACAGCCCGCUGCCUUUGAAGAAUCCAGGAGUUCAGCAGGAGCAGAAAACAGCAGAAAAGCUGAAUUGCUUUAAUUGGGUUGAAAAAAAUCCACAAAGGAAGUGACCUAGCAAUUUGAAGAGUUCCAGCACUGUUCCAAAGGCAAUUGGAAAAUGUGGGCUGUGGCGGUAAUUUAGGAAGUAUUUGCCCAGCUGUAAAAGACUGUUUGCCUCCUACAACACUGCAUCACUUCAAGCUUUACACAAGGUUGGAUAUCUCUAUUACUGUAUCGCUUCUGCUGCUCAAGCACCCAUCGCUCUGUUGUAAUAUCUUUGACUGGAGGUAAGUAUAGUAUAAAUUGUCACUUUGACACGUUACGCUUUGCAGCGUGUUGAAUAAUGAAUUUAACACGCUGUCAUCAUGCACCCGCACCUUGCCAAAUGUUUAAAGUUGGAGCCGCUUGUUUUGUACUCCAAGAUGUGGCUAUUUGUUUACAAAGCACUUCUGCUCCAAGAAAUGUCAUCUUCUGCACUGUUGCCAUCACUGCAGGUUUUCAGGAAAA